UACGAAGGGGGCUAGCGUUGCUCGGAAUCACUGGGCGUAAAGGGUGCGUAGGCGGCGCGGUAAGUCGGGUGUGAAAUCUCGGGGCUUAACUCCGAAACUGCAUUCGAUACUGCCGUGCUUGAGGACUGGAGAGGAGACUGGAAUUCUCGGUGUAGCGGUGAAAUGCGUAGAUAUCGAGAGGAACACCUGCGGCGAAGGCGGGUAGCUGGGCCGACACUGACGCUGAUGCGCGAAACGUGGGGAGCAAACAGG
rnacentral:rRNA from 1 species